CGGGAAACCGGAGCUAAUACCGAUAAUAUUUGAACCGCAUGGUUCAAAAGUGAAAGACGGUCUUGCUGUCACUUAUAGAUGGAUCCGCGCUGCAUUAGCUAGUUGGUAAGGUAACGGCUACCAAGGCAACGAUGCAUAGCCGACCUGAGAGGGUGAUCGGCCACACUGGAACUGAGACACGGUCCAGACUCCUACGGGAGGCAGCAGCA
rnacentral:rRNA from 1 species